CCUACGGGUGGCAGCAGUGAGGAAUAUUGGUCAAUGGGCGCAAGUCUGAACCAGCCAUGCCGCGUGCAGGAAGACGGCUCUAUGAGUUGUAAACUGCUUUUAUACGAGGGUAAACGCAGAUACGUGUAUCUGUCUGAAAGUAUCGUACGAAUAAGGAUCGGCUAACUCCGGGCCAGCAGCCGCGGUAAGACGGAGGAUUCAAGCGUUAGCCGGAUUUAUUGGGUUUAAAGGGUGCGUAGGCGGUCGGAUAAGUUAGAGGUGAAAUCCCGAGGCGCAACUUCGGAAUUGCCUGUGAUACUGUUCGGCGAGAGAGUAGUUGCGGUUGGCGGAAUGUAUGGUGUAGCGGUGAAAUGCUUAGAGAUCAUACAGAACACCGAUUGCGAAGGCAGCUUACCAGGCUACUUCUGACGUUGAGGCACGAAAGCGUGGGGAGCGAACAGGAUUAGAUACCCCGGUAGUC
rnacentral:rRNA from 1 species